AAAAACACCAAAAACAAAUACCCCUAGAACUGUUGUUAACAGUAUGAGGGUUGAAGAUCAUCCUCGUCCUUCAAAUAUCGGUGAUUUGUUUUCAGAAGGGUCUCUAAAUCCAUAUGCAGAUGAUCCCUAUGCAUUUGAUUAAAGAGAAUGGACUCGAGUGAGUUUUCCAAUGAAAAGCUUCACUUAAAGCAACAUUACUUGUAGUACAAGUUACUUUUGGCAAGAACUUUGGACUUCCCAAUAGGAUGCUUUCAAGUUCAGCAAAAGGGUCCUCAUCUGAUCUAUCUUCUGAUUUGCUAAGAUCCAUUGGUGCAUUUCCUUUGCUUAUUGGUG